ACACCUCGGUGUUUGCAGAGCCUCGGCCUCGGCCCCGGCCCCGGCGGUCUGGGAGCGGACGCCUAGCCCUGCGCCGGGCGGCCCUGAAGAGGGAAAUGCGGCUGCGGGGCCGCGGGGACUUACCUGCAGCAGCACGGCCAGCAGGAAGCACAAUGUCCUGGUGACCAGUUUUCUAUUUCUUCAUCUUCCAUGGUGGAGACAUGCCCAUUGAGGAUAAAAUAAAGAACUAAGGAGACAGCCCGCAUCACACAACAUUUCACUCAGCUGUGUCGCUGAGCACUGACAAACUCAAUUUACGAAAGGCAAGAGUGAGUUGACACCAUGCUGUGGCAGUUGUCCUGAUGGGAGGAAACGACUCAUUUCCUUCCAAGGUAGAAUCCACCUUCUCUGAGAAGCAUGCUUGUGCACAAGAGUACUGAAGACAAGGAGAAUGGUGUGGAACCCGGGCCCCAAGGCUUCUCUGAGGGAUACGCACCAAGUUGGCUCUCAGAAUCGGUUGGACUUUGAUGCAUCCAAAAGAGAAUUCUGAGACCUGGUUCUCAGAAUAAAUGUCCCUAAUCAGAUGAGACCUUUCAGGGGACUGUAUGCAUCAAUACCUGGUAUGUUUGUCAGCCCAUCCCCAGCAGUGUUCUAAUACUCCUUAAAGGAAGAAGCGAUAACCAGGUCAGUAGAUACCUAAGGUGAAAAGAAGACAAGAGCAGUUAAGUCAAUUCUGGUAACCUAGGGGUCUUAGCCAGUGUCCCAGAGUAAUGUAAUGGCUAAUAUUGAUGAAGUGUUUAUGAUAUGUCAGACACUGCUAAGCACUACAUACAGAAUAUUUAAUUUAAUCCAGAUAACAAUACCAUAAGUUAGGUGCAAUAAUUAUUCCCAUUUUACAGAGAGGA
rnacentral:lncRNA from 10 species